rnacentral:rRNA from 1 species
UACGUAGGGUGCGAGCGUUAAUCGGAAUGACUGGGCGUAAAGCGUGCGCAGGCGGUUUGCUAAGACCGAUGUGAAAUCCCCGGGCUUAACCUGGGAACUGCAUAGGUGACUGGCAGGCUAGAGUAUGGCAGAGGGAGGUAGAAUUCCACGUGUAGCAGUGAAAUGCGUAGAGAUGUGGAGGAAUACCGAUGGCGAAGGCAGCCUCCUGGGCCAAUACUGACGCUCAUGCACGAAAGCGUGGGGAGCAAACAGG